GGGGGCAGUCUGAAAGGCUUGAGAAGUACCCUUUGAACCUGAACUGGUUAAUACCAGCGGAGGGAAGUGGAUAAAUUUA
rnacentral:ncRNA from 1 species